CUUUCUAGUAGCUCAAUAAUGAUGGCGUAACACAGGGUUAUCAUCACAAGUAAGCCUAGCCUGUAGAAAUACGACUAUACUCCAAAAACAGAAAUUCUGCCCAAUAAAAGCACUUCAUGUCGCAACUUAGAUUUGAAACAGAAAACGGCCAAAAUGGAAUUUAUAUCCUUCAUAAAAGAUGUAGGUACAUCUUUUAAGCUUGCAAAUAAUCAAUAAUCACC
rnacentral:lncRNA from 1 species